AACAGGUCACUUACAACCACACCGUCAGUCUGUGGGCCACCAGCGUACGUUGUUGUCAGUAUCUAGUUCGGUUUCCGUAAUUCGUUCGUUUUUUUAAUAAUCGAGAUUGUUUGUUUUAUAAAUUUUAAUUUAUCGUAAUGUUUGUUGUUGUUUGCGUAGUGCGCAUCUGUGCGGGUUGAUCGCUGUGAUACAGUUAUGUUCAAACGAUGAUUCGUUAACAAUAUAAUUUCUAAACCGGUUUUUUUUUUCAAAUCCCUUUCUUUAAAAAUUUCUAUCUUAGAUAAUGAAUAUCACAAUCAUUAUCACAGAAUCAGUAAUGUAACCUGUUAUACACGAGAUAACGUACUAUUUCUGAUACUCGUGUGAACUUAAUUAUAUAUUUGACGUCUUGCAAAUUAACAUAAUAUAUUUUCAUCAUUGAUUACCUUAAGUUUUCAAAAUGAGUAUAAUGAUGCGGCCUAGAUCGUCAGAUUCGACGCCAAUUUGUAGAUGUAGAGUAUUGUACCUGGGCUCAGCAGUACCACAUAUUACGAAAGAUGGACUGCAGGGAAUCCAGGAACCCUUAAAGGAACUUUAUCCCGAGCAAGGGGCAAUCGGUGCUCGAGGGAUAGAUUCAUGGCUAAGUGUAUGGAGUAAUGGCCUUUUGUUAGAAAACGUUGAUGAAAACCACAAGAAAAUUACAAGGUUUUUUCCAAUAGAGUCUUUGCACUAUUGUGCAGCUGUUAGGUUUGUACUUGUACCUGAAAAGUCAAACAAUUCAACUCAACCUAGGUUUUUGCCGUUGGACUCACCUUUUGCUCGAUCACCGAACCCAAACCAUCCACCUUUAUUCGCUGCUAUACUACGCCGAACAUCUGGUAUAAAAGUUCUUGAGUGCCACACAUUUAUUUGUAAACGUGAAAUGGCAGCUAAUGCCCUCGUAAGGUGUUGUUUCCAUGCGUAUGCUGACUCUUCUUACGCUAAACAGGCAAUAGAAACCAAUGGAGGCACUACUAACGGUAGUAUAUAUGGCACGGUGCGCACAAAUCAAUCAAUGGGAAAUAACACGAUCGAAAAAGUCGAAGGUUGGAGGCGCAUGACCAAUAAUGCUGGCAGUACAUUAACUUUAAAUAGUGCCCACUCGAAUGGCAUAACGACUUUGGAAGCGACUACUAAUUCUAUUGAUGACUUGUCUGAAUGCAAUGGAGAUGAAAAUCACAAAGUGUGGGUGGGUAGCACCAAAGACUUAUCGAAUGAUAAAGAUGAUUUGUACAACGGUGGUAAUACGAUGCGAAGUUCUCGGUCCAACCGACCUCGUCAGAUAGUGGGUGCCCCACCACCACCUCCUCCACCACCACCUGUAAGAGACGAAAAAUCCUCAAAGAAAAACAAAGAAAGACCACGGCGAAAAAGAACACCGACGGGUAGUAGAGUCGGAAGUCGAGAAGACCUUUAUUCCCCAUCUAUUAAUGGAGAGGGACCAAUGAUGAGACCCACGAAUGGUCGCUCUUCUGUGUCGUUGAAUGGUACCAUCGUUAGCAGAGGCCCAUUUAAGGGAUUUAUGUCUCCUAUACCGCCACCUCCUCCACCACCCAACCAUAUUUAUUCAAAUGGUGGUACUAUGAUGAGGCCUAUAAACGGAUUUCAUCAUCCUCACCCUGUAAUGUUACAUCAUCCACCUCCACCACCACCACCUAUAAUGAUGGUACCUACUACCCUUCCACAUUCAAAGAAAAUGCAUAAGAUGAAGCCAGGUAUGAUACCAUUACCUAGACCUGGGAUGAUGCCAUCUAACUUCAUGCCUAUGCCUAUGUAUAUCCAUACAGGAGGUAAGAAACCUAAGCAUAUGCAAGCCGUACCGAUACCAUUAGCUAUGGAAGAACCCAUUUAUAUGCCUUCCACCCGGCCCUUAAGUCCAGUUGCGUCUUACCAACCGGAACACUUUCCACACGAAGCAUAUCUGAUGCAACAGUACGCCAAUAACAAUGGUCCUAUGCCAACUAAGAAUAAAAAAGAUAAAAAGAAUAAGAAAAAAAAUUCAAUAAACGGUGUUAUACCUCCAAUUGCUGUAAACGGUAAUCGAGUCAACGGAAACCAAGUUAACGGUAAUGGGUUGUCUCACGAUGAAACAGACGACACCGAAGAUUCUGUGUAUAAUACUGGUAUUUAUCGACGAAAAGGUCAUUUGAAUGAAAGAGCAUUUUCGUAUUCAAUUCGCCAAGAGCAUAGGUCCAGAUCGUAUGGGUCGUUAGCUAAUUUGAAAUUUGCUGCACCUCCAAUGAUACCUAAUGGUGUCGACGGAGUUCCCAAAACGGAUAUAAAAAAGGAGAGAGAAAUCAUGCAGAUGAUGCAGGACUUAGAGCUGUCUGGAGAUGAACUAGAUAGGGUGGAUCAGGUGGUUCAUCAAAACAAAAUACAACAGCGACCUAUCAAAACCAAAAGAUAAUUGAUCAGACUCAACAUUAUCUAUGGACAGGUUACAAGGAUUGGUAGACAUGGGAAUACCUGUUCGCCAACAGCAACCCCAAGUGAGAGAGACUUAUCAACGGCGUAAAGUUACCAUUCAGGAACCUUUAUGGUACCAAGGGUACCAUCCCGUUAGAUUUUUAUCAUUGCAAUUUCAAAUAAAUCUUAACUAAAGAGAUUAGCAAUCGUUUUCGAACGCUUAUGGUGUAAAAUUUAACAUGAGUAUUAUUUAGCAUUCUUCAAUCGGUCAAGUAUUAAACCGUCGCUCAAUAAAUAUUUGGUUCACAAACAAAUCUCUAUGUUUACCGUUAAACUCGGUAUGAAGAAUUUUAUCAUGUUGAUUGAAACUCUAAUACAUAUUUAUUACAAUCAUCACAUAUCGAAAAUGUUCAUCAAAAUAAUCGGCUAUGAAAUUCCAAGACGAUUUUACUUUCAUGGCCCAAUUUUCAAUCACGACAUAGAGAAAUGGUAACAAAAAUAUAAUUAUCGUCAACAAUUUGAAGAUGCGUCUAUCACGACAUGUACUUGCUAUUAUUUUAUUGAGACUCGUUACAUGUUUAAAUAUUUUUUGAAACCUUUAAUUUUUUUGAUUAUAAUUUGUCUUAUAUUUCAUUUUGUUACUCAAUGGGGGAAAUGAAAAUUAAGAAAGGUUGAUAAGGGAAUAAUAGGUAGAUCGCCGCCUCUGAUAAGCCACCUAUAAAAAAAUGUCUUGAAAUAUAUAUUUUGUAUAGAGGUUACCCAAUUAAAUUUUAAAUCGUGAUAAAAUACUAAUGUAUCAUAGUAAAAUACAUCUUUCGAUGUGAUGUGAACUGUUCAAAUUCAAAAUGUACAGAUUAACCCACACACGCCCACUGCAAUAAUUGAAAACCGAUACAGCUGACAACAUUGAGAUUUGUGCUUUUAUAACAAUUGACGUUUUCGCUUUUCGAUGUUAGCAACAACAUUUUCGUGAACGAGCAGGUUGUUCUCACAAUUGUAUUCAAGUUUUUAAAUAACAAUUAGACAUAACAGUUGAACAUCCCAAAAUGUAACGACAUUAAAAAUAAAACUACCAUGUGUGGGGCAUUUUAAUCUCAAAGAGGUCGUCAUGGACGUCUAUCAUUAUCGAUCUUCAUGUACGUUGCACGGAUUGUGCCGGCAUAUUGUGAAGCAUGCUUAAUAAUCGCUACUUAUUAUACUGAUAAAAAGUGGGGAACAGUAGGAAAUUUCACGCAAGAGAAUAAAGAAUAAGAGAAUGUCGGACAAAACGGUCGGUAUACGAAGAGUAUUAGCCAAAAAUGGAAUACCUUUUUCACCAUCACACUUACAAAAUAUACCAAACAUGGCCAACACAACAAAUCAUUUUUGUCGAGUAUCAUUAAUUAUCACUAUUUUAUGUGUAUUAAUAAUAGUUUAUGUUAUUUUAUUUUUAAAUAGACCAUUUUUUAUAUGAUCACUUGUUUUAAAGUCUAUUUUAAAGGACAGACAGACUAUUUUAAAUACUAUCCAAACUUUAUGCGCGAGACCUACAAAAUGAAUGGUCUCAAGGACAAAUAAACGGUAACAAAACAAAUGACUACUGUGAGAAAACUACGCCUAUCUGUUCAUGCUUAAUAAUUUUUAGUUGUAUCUAACAAAUACUUAAGUUGUUUAUUGUUAUUGAUUAGACUUAAUGUUAUAUUUUAAAUAUUCAAACGUUUAUUUAGUCUGUACAGAUGCUAUAUUAUUAUUAUUACUAAAUUUUUUUUUACUUUUACUUUUACUUAAAACGCUAAACUCUAUAUUCUUGAAACUACUCGCUUAGCAAUUUGAUACCAGUUUUGUUUUUUGUAAAUAUAUUUAUGUAUUACAACUUUA